rnacentral:tRNA from 1 species
GCGGGCAUGGUUUAGUGGUAAAACGACAGUUUUCCAAACUGUAGUCGGGGUUUCGAUUACCCCUGCCCGCA